CAGAUAAAAGAGAACAUGUUAAACUUCCUGUUUUUCAUACUCAUAACAUCCAAUUUACAUCAAACAUCAGGUAAGUCAAUCUCUAAUACCAGCGGUUUGCCCUUUAUUCUAAUCUAAUGAACAGACGGUGGCAACCUUUAAAGAUUGAUGCGUGAAAUUUAAGGAAAUAAGGAAACAUAAAGCUCUGGCAGUAUGACAGGCAGUGCAGCUGCUUGGGUGGCCUCUUGAGUGUCCUUCACACUUUGAGGCACCUCAUGGACAUCUCUGAGUAGGGGCCCAGUUGGGUGCUGCAGCCCUUUAUCAGCCCAACUGGGCCCAUAUAAGAUUGUCAGUGCUGGGAGGAAGUGAGUGAAUGGUGUAAUUUUGAGUCAAUGAUGUUGUGAAGUGGGUGUGACUUCAUGGCAUCCUAAAAGGGGAGGGACUACAGCAUCUGGCAUCAGAAAUGCUUGCAAAGAUGUCUGAGGGUGUGAAACUGAUGUGGUACCUAACUGGAGGUUGGGCACCAGGUAAGUGGUGUAGCAUAAGGUUAUGUAUCCUUACAUCUUAGCGUAACAUCAUGUUACAUCUGGCCUUUUAACUCUGCAAUGUAAAACACAGCAGCUUGUUGAAAACUCCAAUUGCAAAGUUAAGUCCACCUCUUGUGAAUAUUGUACUAACAGCCACAAGAGAUGCUUCUGCUGCACUGCAGAGUCAAUGCUUUCCUGUGGAGAAGCGUGGAUGCACGAGUGACGCAUGUGUGUAUCAGGUUCUCAAUGCUUAUCAAUGGGAAAAUGUUGGAUUAGCUGUUACAAUAGGCUUUAAAUACAUCUAUUCAUACUUAUAUCGAUAUAAAGGGAUUAUUGCAUUAUCAUUGCUCAUAUGAUUUUUUUUUCUCCCAAGCUUUAUUUGUAGUGAAAGCAAACAAGAUGAAACAUAUAGCAAGGUACGGGGACAUAGUUCAACUUGUCUGCAACUUCCCAGUGAAUGAUAAUUUUAACAUGGAUCAACUUAAGGCCUCUUGGGAAUACAUCAACUCAACUUCAAGCCUUCGGGUGGAAAUAUUGAGACUUAACAAUGGGAAGAUAGAAUUGUUAGACCACAAACGUGCUCACAAUAGGAGAAUAACUAUGUUGAUGGAUGAACUGAGGAAUGGACAGGCUGUUUUGGAGAUCACACAUGUGAAACUCUCUGAUGCAGGAACUUAUCGCUGUGUUUUACAGCUAGGAGGAUCUGACUAUGAUAUAACUACCCUUGAUGUGCAAGGUCAGUUGUCCUCUAUGAUCCUUACAUGAAGUAGUGUAGCAUUAUAAAUAUUACAAAGACAAUGAAUGAUUUGUUUGUCAUAAAUAUUUAAAACUAAUUAGCUAUAGCUAAUAUAGCUGGUAGCUCCCAAUUACAGCUCUGCUUGGUCAUAGUGUUCCUUUUUCUAUAAUUAUGCGUACUUUACUAUUUUCUGUUCCACUCAGUAAAUAUGUGUUUGCUGCUAAUCUUGUCUGCAUUUAAACUUUCUUCCAUGUCAUUAGGAUUUCACACAUGUCCUCCUCAUUGCCAAUCUCUAAUCUUGCAUGGUUUUCAUAUUGCUUGACCACCUUCCAAAAAAGAAUGAGCCUGCCCAUCUUUAAUGACAUUCAUUUUUAAUUUCACCAAUCCUAACUCCCUUCCCUACAGUCCUACAUGCCAACAUCUCCAUAACUUCACUUCCAUAUAUCAAACAUUCAAACAAUUUCAUAAUUUUCACCUCUUCAUGUGAUGAUGCACUGUCCAUAUGAUGUAGUUGCUUCCAUUUUCAUUUUCUAUUUUUCAUAAUAUAAUGACCCAUUUGUCAUCACUUCUACUUGACAUCCCAACCCCAUAUAUGCCACCAACCCACCAACUAUUUAAAUCCAGUAAUUCAUGCUUCCUUUUUUUAUCCACCACAUGCUAUUAUUUCUUCCACCUCCCACUUAUAGUUUGUCAAUAUUUUGCACACCUCGUCCGUGACAUUUUCCAUAGAUCAUUUUGUUUUGCUCUUCAAUGUAUUGUCUCUUUCAUCAACAAUGUCUAGUUAUGUUCAAUGCCAGUCGCUAUUCUUAAUUUAUUUGUUGUUUAAGGCCACCUGGAUUUUGUGAAUUAAACACGUGUGCGAUAAUAUUAACAGGGAAUGCUACAAGUAGAUCUUUGUACAAUGCUGUAUUUUCUUUUCUGCUGAUUUCUAUUGCAGCUUCAUAUGAAAACAUAAGCAGAUAUACAGAGAUAUCCAGUGAUGGCAAUGAAAUGUCUUUGACUUGCCAGUCUCUAGGUUUCCCAGAGGCAGAAGUGAAUUGGCAGACAAAAUAUGUCAAUAUGUGUUCUCCAGCAGUUACUUCUCGUAUACUGACUUCAGAUGGAUUAUAUAACACAUCAAGUACCAUCAAAUGCAAGAAACAGUCAUCACAAAAUAUAAAGUGUGUGUUUUGGAACAAAGCACUAAAUGAAACGACUGAGGCCAUUUUUAAUUUUAAAGGUACCUUUGAUAUAUUCUUUGCCAGAUUAUGAAAAUGAAUAUGAUACAUGGUAUUGCUACAGUUUGCUUAUUAAAAAAACAUGAUAUCAUAAGGAAUAAAAACGUUUAUUCCCAAAACUGUAGUGCCCCUAUCCCUAGUUCUUGACAGGUGUUCCCGCCUCCAUUUCCCAUAAAAAUCGAUUAAAAAAAAAAAAAGUUUUGCUCACCUUGUUCCAGUGGCAUUCCUCACCUAUCAAGGUUGUCACAAAUACACCCUACUCCAAGAGUGUGUGUGACGUAGUUGUGGUGGUGAAAGGGUUAAAGUUCACUAUUUGUCUGCACUAGACCGGAAAUAAUGACAAAAUCCCCCUUUUAAAACCACCCACACUUAAACAUAAUAAUAUAACUAUUACUAUUUUAACGCUGCCACUACCAAGACAAUUUAUAAAUGGGGUGCCUUGGCCCCCCAGGUAUAUCAAUAAUAAAACCCACCAAAUAUUACUUAGUACAAUAUUUAAGUUAUUGCAAAAAUACUAACUAGUCUCUUCAGGUAACGUGAUUCUUAACCAGACAAAGGCAAAACUUAAUAAAUGAAUGUUUAUUAUGAGCAAAAGAUAGUCACAGUGCAUAUAAAAAUAUAUGAUAAACAAAUUAUUUACACCAACAACAGAUAAAAACAAAAAGCAUAAAAUACAGAAGUCCUAAUUACUCACUUAGGUUUUUUCAAAGUACAACUUCUGUCCAGGGGGUCUCUGGCAAGGAAAGAUGGUGACUCACUCAAAAUUAGAUCUUGGCCCCAAGCAAGUACACAAACACCCUUCAGGAUCAUUAGAUAUAUACCCUGUGGUUUAUCAAGUCUUGCCCAGGGGUGGAGUUAAGGCAUACCUACAGUAAUAAUAACCGACCACCUCCUUUGUUCCAGACCACUGUCAAUCCAAAUGGAAACAUUUGACUCUACCUUCUUUUUUGUACCUGCCACAGAAAUAAUAAUUGCAUCUACAAAUUUGUUAUUAUUUUCCCAUUCCAUAGACAUGUUGCACGUCCCACCCAUGAUCCAAUAGGACGGACAUCACAAUUCCUUUCCCUAGGGUCAAGUUAGGCCACUCAUGUUUGGACUUGGUUAGAAGAUGGCGCUUGUCACAUUCCAAAUAUAACAAAAAUGAGGCUUUAUUAUUAUUCUGUGGGGGUAAAUAUGAAUGUUUUUUGUCCAUCCUUUGGAUAUGAUACUAGAACAAAGCUAAUGGCAUUUACAUAUCAAAGAGAUUUACUCAUCACUUACAAGGUACAUGCCAAAUCGAUGAAGAGACAUUCAGACUUUUCCCAAGUGUAGAACCUCACACCUUGCAGACUUCACAUCCAUAUAGUAAAAUCCUUUUCACAUUGCUAUGCCAUUCACACUACCCUUUCUGUCAUCUGACCUCUGUGGGGGUCCCAGCUUCAAAAGAUGUAACCCCUGUUGACCUCAGCAAUAGCAUCUCUGUAAUUUGUGCCAUUUACUACACAAAUUACAUUAAAAGAUGAUAUUCCAUAGUGUAAUAAUAAAUUAUACACCCUUGCCGUGACAAAGGUGAUAACUCCUCUGUGAUGGUCCAAUCAAAUGCUCCUCAUAAAGGAAAAUUUAGUACUUAAAGUAGAAUUAAUCUUUAUAGGAGCAUCAAGGACUUGAAACACAUAUACGUUGAGAGCCACCUGCACAUCGAUGCUACCCCACAGGAAGCAUUGUAUGCAAUGCUUUGCUAUGAGCCUUUGCAUUCUGUGACCAAGUUUUACUUGGUCAGUGCAGUGGUAUCGCUUCUAGAGGCUGUAAGGAAGACAGUCACUAGAAAUGUGUUUAACCUAUAUAAAAAUGCUGGGUUAAAAGUGUUAAAAGGAUCACUAUAGUGUCAGGAAAACAAAGCGGCUUUCCUUGCACUAUAGUGCCCUGAGGGAGCCCCCACCCUCAGGGUCCCCCUCCUGUGGCGCUGAAGGGGUUUAAAACUCUUCAGCAGCUUACCUUAUUCCAGCGCGGUGCUCCCUCGGCGCUGGUGACCUCUCCAUCCCUGCCGACGUCAGCUCCCUCUGCUGUAGUCACUGGAGCCGAAUGCGCAUGCGCGGCAAGUGCCGCAUGCCCAUUCAAAGUGUCCAUAGGAAAGCAUUUCUCAAUGCUUUUAUAUGGACGCUCUGCGCGAUGGAGGCAUAAUAUGCCUCCAGCAUCGCAGAUGCGCCUCUAGUGGCUGUCUGGAAGACAGCCACUAGAGGUUGGCUUAACCCCAAAUGUAAACAUAGCAGUUUCUCUGAAACUGGUAUGUUUGCAUCUGAAGGGUUAAAACCUGAGGGACCUGGCACCCAGACCACUUAAUUGAGCUGAAGUGGUCUGGGUGACUAUAGUGUCCCUGUAAAUAGAUCUUGUCUUUACUUGUUAUCCAUCUAAAUGAAAACAUGCAGCAACAUCAGCAGAUAGACAGUAAAAACUAACAAACUAUGCACAGAAAGUGGGGGUCUGAGGGAAGUCUGAGGGAACAGAACAUGUUUUGCAUCUGCACUGAAUGCUCUGUCAACAGUUACCAGUUGGGGCCAGCCAGGCUGCCAGACUCUGAUGAACACUUCUUAUAGGACCACUAUAGUGCCAGGAAAACAUACUCGUUUUCCUGGCACUAUAGUGCCCUGAGGGUGCCCCCGCCCUCAGGGUCCCCCUCCCGCCCGGCUCUGGAAAGGGGAAAGGGGUUUAAACUUACCUUUUUCCAGCCAUGAGAGCUCUCUCCUCCUCCGCCUCCGUCACAAGUUGAAUGCGACGCUGCAAGAGCUAAGGGCUACAAGAUGCUCCUCACUGUGAAAAAUCAUACAGUGAGAAGCACGCAAGCGCCUCUAGUGGCUGCCAAUGAGACAGCCACUAGAGGAUUAGGGGGAAGGCUUAACCCAUUCAUAAUUAUAGCAGUUUCUCUGAAACUGCUAUAAUUAUGAAAAAAUGGGUUAACCCUAGAAGGACCUGGCACCCAGACCACUUCAUUAAGCUGAAGUGGUCUGGGUGCCUAGAGUGGUCCUUUAUGUGCAGGUAUUUGCACAUGACUGUGUGAUCAGAUAAAAGGGUGUCAAUUGAUGGGAAACUGUGCCAAUCUCCUACACAGAUUUCUGUGAAAGGUCCCUCAUACAGAGAUUACAGGGAUGUAUAAAGUCACACAUAUGCAACUUAUGCAGCCUCGAUCUGUCAUAUCCAUUUAUGGCAUUCUACAUAUGAGUAUGACUGUUCUAGAUAAUUUACUGCAAACCAAUUAGUUUGAAUGACUAUCUGUUCCUGUCCAAAUUAAAGAUAAUAAAGUUGCGUGCACGCAGAAGUAAAUUCACACUGAGACACAAGGUUCAGGGUAAUGAAAGAACUUCAGAGAAGUUUAAUGGCUUCUGACAGAAAAAUGGGUGCGCAGACCCUUAUAAAGGCAUUAUUACAUCAUUGAAGAAAAUCAAGAUAUAGACAAAUAGACAUUGUUAAUUGGCUUAGGUGCUAAGAUGUUAGUAAAAUGCCCUCCCCAUUCUUAGGUCACUAUCUACGUAAUUUCUUAACUCCUACAGGUUUUAGCGCCAUCUUGUUAAAAUGAGGAGCUCACUCGACGGGAGGGGCCUUUUGGCAGCUAUCCAUUUGGAGCGUAGCUGGCACUUGUUAGUUUCUCAAGGUUAAGUUUCAAGGAUUUUAGUAAAUACACAUUUUAUCAAAGCUAUUUCUUGCUGACAUGCAAAUUCUAUGUUCUAUAGACAAAGCUUCCUUGUAAAACUAUGGGGGGCCUCCUAGAGGUAUAGCAAGAGGAUUUUAAAGGGGCCUUACAGAUUUAUAGAGGCCUAAUAAUUCUACAACAGUCCCCCCUAAAAUGUUAUUUGCUAAAAGACAAAACUUUAUUUGUUAGUAUCAGAAGAAGUAUUAGCCCAAAGACACAGAAACCCCAUGACCGCUGACUUAGUGUUAAUGCAAAGUGCAAGUCUAUCCCUCUCUUGACCCUAACAGGUUGCAGCACACCCGUCAGUACGGUUCAGGAACACUCUUCACUCCGCUGGUAACCCAUAGUGGCUUAUCCACUACUUCUCCGUACGGCAGUCUACCCAUAAAGACGGAUGCUGUCCCUGUACUGUCCCUUCCUAGACUUUCUGCACUUCAUCAGUAUACGGGAGAGUUUGUAGCGGAAUACAGGGUGAGAUGAGAUCUUGAUCAUCGAUUGUCAGAUGAGUGAAGGUUGGUGUUGCUUGGUUUACAGUUUUCGGCAGGAAUUUCCUUAGGCAUGGGAGGACACAACAAAUGAGAAGAGCGAGAAUAAAAAGAAAAAUUAGUAAGGCAAUACCAAUCUGGACUAAAGCUCUCUGCCAACCAGUCAUCCAACCAAACCAUUUUUCCCAGGGAUCAGUAACUCCAGAGUUUCUCUUUAACUCUUCUGAGAGUCUAUUUAAUUUAGCUAUGGCUAGAGUGACUUUACCAUUAGGACCUGUGUUUUCUGGAAUGUAAGUGCAACAAGUCAUAGUGUCGGGAAGUAUUUUACAGACCCCCCUUUUUCGGCUAAGAUCAUGUCUAAGGCCAGUCUGUUCUCGAAGGUCAUUUGGGAUGUGGCCUGUAAUUGCUCGGCCAAGCCCUGGAGGGCAUCCCUGGUGUAGUUCACGAAGCGCUGUUGGUUGUAAUAGAUAUAAUUAAUCCAAUUAAGGUUUUUGUUGGCAGUGACUAUGGUAAAAAGUGAUUCAAAACCUACAGCUACUUCAUCUCUAGCUUUAAAUUCAUUAGGUACCCCCUAGGCACCCCAAUGGCAUCUAUGUAAAUGUGGGGGUCAAAACUGCCUUUUACUGGGGUUUCGCGCCUUACUCUGGCUGAUGUAUGUGGAGGGUCGUAUGUGUCAUGAUGAUUAUCAGAAAUAAUAUGAAUGGGCAUGAUAACUUUGGCUAGGGUACACUCACCCCACCACUCAGUUUCCAGCCUAGAUCUUAACUGUAGAUCCCCACAUAACCAGUAAACAUCCCCCAAUGACCUGGUAUGGUGUUGCAACAGGCGUAUAGGAACAGUUCUGUAAGUGGCGCAAUAACCUUUAGAAAAGUUAUCCAUGAAUUUACCAAUCCCGUCAUACAUGGCAUAACAAGUGUAAUUACCUCUAUAGACUGUGAUUCCAUCUGGUGGCUUAACAUUUUCAACUAAGAGAGGGUAUUCUGCCGUCCAUGCCAUGCAGAGGGACCUAUUAAAGUCAUAUUGGUAGGCAAAAGGCUUAAGAAGCAAUCUUCUAUCUCUAAAGGGAGAGUUAGGGGGACGGUGCCAAGGUGGGGUCGGGCACCGCCACAUACAUAACAUGCUGUUUUAUUAUGUUUGUUAGCAUUAUACCUCAUCCAUUCUAACCACAAAUUAAUGUCAUUGAAUCCAGUUUCAGCGGCCAUGGUAUCUUCAAAAGUGGGGUUAGCGAUGGCCAUCAUAUCUUUAAAGGACUGGAUAUGUGGUUUUAGCGGAUUUGGGACCAUAUGAUUAGCCCCUUGCCACUCUGGAGAGUGGUACAUAUCUCUGAGGUAGAAAUGACCUAAUUUGUUGUAGGAACCUUUCUUCCAAUACAUUCCCAUUACAUAUCGGUCUGCAUCCUCAGGGCCAGGAUGUUCAAUAUUUAACAUUAAUUUCAUAGGGGUACUUCCUCCAGGCUUUCUUAAAGUCAUUCUUUGAAGGAGGGAUCUACCCUGAUUGUCUAUCUUAGAUAAAGAACUUUUGGGUUUAUAACCCCAGGCAGGCCCAGUAUUCCAUCCCGCAGCCCCCCCAGUAGUUACAGUCAUAACCCCAUUGUUCAUCUACUACACAAACGUAAGGGUCUUUUGCUUGUGGUAUAUCUUUAUAAAUGGCUUGAAUCUGUGACUUAGGGAAUGGGCAUUCUACAAUAUCACAGUAAUCAAAAGUGAAUGUAGUCACAUGGGUACAUGAUGAAUUAUACCAGAAAGUGUACCCACUAGCAUCUUUGGUGAUGGCCACCUGCUGGGCUUUAAGGAGGCCAACUAAGGAGAUAAUGUACCAGAGGCACAUGGUUGCAUAGAAUUAGCUUCCUCUGGGGCAGGUGUCUUCUUGCAAUGGGAAGCGUGGAUCCAGUUAGGCCUUCCGGCCAAUUUGACAGAGGUAGGGGAGAUCAGGAGAACUUGGAACGGUCCGUCAAAUCUUGGUUCCAGGGUGUGUUUUUGCACAAAUUUCUUGACCAGAACCCAGUCACCGGGGAGCAGACUGUGGUUGCCUGUGUCAGAAUCAGGAUCUGGAAUUGAAGAGAAAACUUGGGCAUGGAUUUUGUUCAAAGCAUUUGCGAGUUCAGUUACAUAAUCUACAAAAACAUCAGUUUGAAGUUGUAGUUGUUGGGGAAAAUAGCAACCUAGCCUAGGUGCAGUCCCAAAUAGAAUCUCGUAUGGGGACAAUGAGGUAGUAUUUUUGUACAAGAGCAUUCAUUAGAUCUUUUGAUAAAUGUGCAGGUCUGUGUGCCCAUUGUACGACUGCUGGGUACAAAUUCUUAGGGAGGCAGAAAUUGAGGUUGUUGGAGUACACUCCAUCCUUCAGAACUGCCCCUUUCUGUUUCCACUUCUGUAUUUCUUCAGGGGCAACUGUAGCCUGUUGUUCCAGCAGGAUUUUCAGGUCAGUUGGAAGAGUCUGCAGAGUAAAUAUGGGAGUUUCUUCAUUUCUGGACACUCUUCUUUCCACUUCCUGUGGUUCUUUUGCAGCUUGUUUUGCAGCCUGAUCAGCUAGAUGGUUGCCCUUUGCUUCAUCUGAGUCCAACUUCCCAUGUGCUUUUAUCUUCAAAAUAGCCACUUCUUCUGGGAGUAGGAGGGCGUCCAUCAGCUCCUUGAUUGCGUAACCGUGCUUGAUUGGUGUACCGGUGGUGGUAAGAAAUCCUCUUGUUUUCCAAAUUAAUCCGAAGUCGUGAGCCACGCCCAGUGCAUAUCUUGAAUCCGUGUAGAUAUUGGCGCGCUUUCCUUCAGAGAUCUUGCAUGCUGAAGUCAGGGCUUGCAAUUCAGCUUCUUGUGCAGACAUAGCUGAUGGUAAAGAUGAUGAUUUGACAAUUUCAUCUGUUGUGGUUACGGCAUAUCCUGUAUGGUAUCUUCCUUCUUCAUCAGCAUAUCUUGAGCCGUCCACAAACAGGGUGAGAUCGGGAUCUACCAAUGGGUCUUCAUGCACAGUUGGUAGAUGUCUCGUUUCCAUUUUCAUCUGUUCAAAACAGUCAUGAGGUGUAUCUGGGUCGUAGUCAUUCACUAUGGUUAAAUCUUGGAACUCAUUCUCCAGGAAAUGACGCUGCCAUGCUUUUAGGUGGUCAGUUGUUGGAUAUUUGACAACACCAUUUUCCUGUAGCUGUGAUUCGUCCAUAGUGGCCCAUGCUUUUGCCAUAGGCCCAAGAUCAUUCCAUGAUAUUGUUUUCAACUUGGUCACAGGGACAUGUGGAAUGGCAGUGUCCCAAUGACGGUACAAAUGAUUGAGUUCCGGAGGUAGAUGAAUCAAGACCAUACUGUUGCCUUCAGAAUCACAGUAGAAGUCUUGUGCAGUGAGUUUUACUUCAACCAGCUUAUAGAGUUCAUCUUCAUAGCAGGGUUCAGGAGUGAUGUUUGGUUUGUACCACAUGGUACAGAAGGCAUGUCCUGCUCCGUCAUGAAGGAGUGCUUGUCCAUCAUAAAAGGAUAGGUUGGGAUGCAUUUCCUUCUUGAUGUUGCCAGUGAGAAGAGAAACAUAAAUUUCGUCCAUGAUGAAUCCGUAGUAUACACCCCCCUCAGGGAGUGGCAGAAGAGUGGACGGAUUGAGAACUUGACAUCUUUGGAGGGUAAUGUUGUCAGGCAACAAAAGAUGACAUUGAAGGCGAAGAUGCCUGGCAGGAGUAACAUGCUUAAGCUGGACCUGGUUGACUAUGGCAGAAAUGUCAUGAGGGGCCAAGACAACCAGGAGGUGGCCAAGGACAAGAUCUCCAGUUCUUUCAAUGAGCUCUCUGGCAGCAAAGACGGCCCGAAGGCAAGAGGGACGUCCUCUGGCCACAAUAUCCAGUUGGCAGGAGAAAAAUCCAAUAGGCCUUUGGCGGCCUCCAGGACCAUGGGCCUGAGUGAGCACUCCUGUUGCAUGGCCUUGUCUUUCAGAAACAAACAGUUUGAAGGGUUUGGUAUAGUCUGGUAGGCCAAGAGCAGGAGCAGAAGCAAUAGUACUUUUGAGAGAACAGAAGUUGUCAAGGGCUUCUGUGGACAAGCAAAAUGGGUCUGACUUGAGAGCAUCAUAAAGAGGUUGCAUAAGGAGCGAGGCUUCUGGGAUCCAUGCUCGGCAAUAGGAAAUGAGGCCUAGGAAGGCGUGUAGUGACUUCGAGGUCCUUGGAGGUGGAAUGUCCAGUACCGCUCUAACUCGGUCACGGGUAAGAUGUCUGGUUCCCUGAGACAGACAAUGGCCAAGGAAAAUAACAGUAGGUUGGCAGAAUUGCAGCUUGAGACGUGAAGCUUUACAUCCUUGUUCUGCUAGGUAGCAAAGAAGAUUAAGUGAGCAUUGUUCUGUUGUGGGUAUAUCAUCUCCACAAAGCAGCAAAUCAUCCACAUAUUGAAGCAGGACGACCUCGGGAUGGUCAGAUUGCCAUGGAUCAAGGAUAGAGCACAUGGCCUUCGCAAAUUGACUUGGUGAAUUUUGUGCCCCUUGGGGCAUGACAGUCCAUGUGUACUGUUGUUUGUCAUGUGUGAAAGCAAACAGAUAUUGGCAAGUUGGAUCCAGGGGAACACUGAAGAAGGCAUUGGCUAGAUCAAUGGCAGUGAAGUACUUGGCAGAGGGUGGAACGCCGGAAAGGAGAGUGUGUGGGUUGGGCACUAUUGGAGUGUCCAAAACUGUGGCUUCAUUUACCGCUCUGAGGUCUUGGACCAAUCUGUACUUUUCUGGUUCACCUUUUGGAGUCUUUUUCUUUACUGGAAAUAAUGGAGUAUUGCAUGGUGAUUCACAUUUGACAAGAGCACCCUUCUCCAGGAGUGCUUGAAUUUGAAUUGUAAUGGCUGCAGCUUGAGCUGGUUUCAAAGGAUACUGUGAUUUUCGUUGCAAUUUUACGCCUGGGAUGAGCUUUACCACCACAGGCGGGACCUUUAGAUGGCCUAUGUCCUCUGGGCCUGUGGACCACAGCUUCUUGGGAACAUCAGUCUUUAGUGAAUCAGGGAAAUUAGUCCUUAGGUCUUUUGCAUCCCCAUGAGGCUCUUCUAGAUGUAGCAUCAGGGGUAAGGAGCACAAAGCUGAGGUGUCUGAGACAGAUAGAGGGGUGGAUAGUUCCACUUGUCCAUCUGGAGUAAAGGUGAUGGAUGCCUGCAGGCGUGGAAGAACAUCAGCUCCUAACAGGUUAAUGGGGCAUGUGGAAGAUACCACAAAGCGAGCAAGCAAGUUGUGGCAGUUACCAACCCGCAGUGGGGUGGACAGGGGACUUUGCCUUGGAAGGCCGUCCACCCCAACACAGGAGACAUCAAUAUUGGAAAGAAAUGAGGUAUCGGGCAGGUCUUGUUCUCUCAGAACACUUCGGGCUGCACCUGUGUCAACUAGGAAAGUGGUGGGCUGGCCCUCAAUGGGUAAAAUUACAGUAGCUAGAGGCCCCCCCUGUUCCCCUGAAGACACUGCCAUGGCAGGGGCAUUAAGCAUCAGCGGGUUUGCUCUCCUCAGUAUGGGCUGUGUUACUGACUCAAACCCCUUUCUAUGUCAUUAGCCAUAGCUUUUUGCAGUCUGAACAUGUCUAUCAUUAUAAAUAAUGGUUAAUAGUAAGUUAAGUAAAGUUCCUAUAUGUCUUUGGAUAAAACAUUAACUAUUGCGGUACUAUCAUUUAUAUCAAUUAGACUAUAACAAUUAUACCACCCUGUAACUAAAAUGAAUAACCAGUAGUGGCUGGGUUAAUAAAACAUGUCACAAACCCUUCUAAUGCUAAACCAUCAUUUAAAGUAAAGGAUGUUACUGUAAACAUACGAUCUGUAACUAGCAAGAUUCGAUUAAGCAAAGAUACAAUGUUUAAAAUAACUUGCAUUAUUUGGCUAUUUCCCUUGUUGCAAGAUUAAUCUGGAUAAUCAGCUGUUAUGCUCUUAUAUUCGUGUCCAACAGAUUUCAUAUGUAGGUCACACCACAUUUGCAAAUUACAUUUUAGCAACCUUCUUUUUUUUUUUAUAUCACGGACAAAUUGUUGAUACAGGGAAACAAAUGGCAUGAUUGUUUUAGUAAUUAUCUAAAUGGGACGAGCAUAAUAGGGGUAGGCCUCAUGAUGGAGGCAGCCAUGACAGGGGCGGGGAAGGAAAUGACAGCAAGGGAGGAAGUGAGAGGGGUGACGUCCAUGAUAUGUGUGGGAAAGGAAGACAGGAGGUGUGGGCAUGGUAAGGGCGGAAGUGACGUUACUUUAGAAGCAACCGUGACUGUGGAUAGGUCACGGGACUGGCAGGCGCCAUCUUUAGGGUGGUGGUUGAUGUACUUUCAACCAUACACUAUAUUAAAACUAUUAAAAUAAGUCAGAGAAGCAACAUUCUGUUCUGCAAAAUGGAAUACUAAACUAUGAACAGACCUGGCAGGUUAAAUAAGACAGUUGAGAACAUUAUGCAUUUAACAGCCCAUACAGCUGUUUCUAGAAACAUGUACUUUAAAAUAAUGCAAGAUAAACUCGCGGAAUUCAACCUUAUCUUCCUCAAACCAUUAAUCACUUUCCUCUUCACAUACUAGCUUAACUCUGCAUAUUCCCUCUAUCCACAUUGCAUAGUUUUGCAACAAAUCACGCUUGCCUUUACACUUAACACGUCCAAAUAUUCCUCUAUUCUUGUAUCAGAUUCACUUACCUCCGUAAAUCAACACUGAGCUACAUUCUUGUGUCUCCCCCACAAUCCUCACUACCCUAUCACAAAACACAAUCCAUAUAUACAUAUAUAUAUGCAUAAACGGCAAACGGCAACAAUAAUAAUAUUAUUACACAAUUAUAACACCAUAUAACCUUUGAAUUAGAAUAUUUUCCAGCAAAAAUCCUGUCUCUAACUCUUAUCAGUAGAAAUGCAGGCAAGCGGGGAGGAAAGGGGGGGAGAAAGUUAGACAGUGCAAAAAAAGGGAGAGACUGCAGGCAUGAAGAUUAACCAUGUGAGUGCUGUAAAGUAACAAGACAGAAGGACAGAGACUUAUACGUUUGGAAACCAGAAAUCUUUGACGGGAGAAACGGACUGGAGGUGCAGGGAGCUGCAGAGAGAGGAUGAGGGUGACGAGAUCUGUAGGACUGAUGGGGGGGGGGGAAUAGGGAUCCAUCAGCAUCCAGUAACACAAUUAUUAUAAUACACAAACAAUCUUAAACCUUUGUGAUCAAUUUCUUCCUCAACCUAUCCCUUUUGCUGAAUAGCUCUUGCUACUCGGUACCAGGCUUCUGCUGUACAAACCAAAUCUUGGUCCGACAGCUUCCCUUUCUUCUGUCAGUAACUUACGCCAGCUCUCUGGCUACAAUCUGCCGCACAGAGGUACGGUAAUUCCACAUACUUUAGCAAUCUUACUCACUUUCUUAACCAUCUCUUCUCCUUCUCUGUCUUCCACUAGAUCACAUGCUAACCAACCCUUACUGGGUUUAUCUAACUUCUGUCCCAUCCUCCCUAUACAAGGCGUCCCAGAUAUAGAGAGAGAAAGGAACAGAACGUCUACCGUGCUCGACUGCUACUUUAAGAGCAAGCUCUUUAAGUACGUCUUCCCAAAACGUAGACUAGUCACUGAUUCCGCCUACCCGUGGUAGCCGCGGAUUGGAGCGUGGCGAGAAGUGUGUGACCAAUCACUUCUCUCAACAGAGAAAGAGAACUAGGAGGGGAAAGUGUAAAUAGUACAGUGAGUAAGAUAAAAGUAAACACAGGAAUCUGUGUGACAGACAAUUAAGUCAAUAACAUUUCAGUGUAAAUACAGUGCAUGCAUCACAGUUCAAAUAAGUUCAACAGUGUUAUCCCUUGCCUUUACUCGUGUGGCCAAAAGCCACCUCCCUCAACCUCGUAGUGUCCCUGUUGCGGACCCACCCGCAAGUCUCACUACCAGCAGCCACAGGAAACAGCAACAGCUUCCAACCCGAAUCCUGUAUAGCCUAAAGAAUUGGAAUCUUACCUGUCUCAGCGCUUGAGACUGGAAUUUUACCAAGAAGAAGUGUCUGAUGAGGCUAGCUAAGCGGUCAAAAUGACACUCUGGGGAACCCCCAGGAAGCAAUGAGUCUACAUCAUCCUCCACAGAUUCCCCCUACUCUUUUUCCUUACAGCCACAGCCACGUGGCUCCUAAAAGAGUUAAACAGGCAAUAGAGGACCCCCAGGAAAACUUCCACAGGUCCACCCCCUUUUUUCCUUACUACCACAGGCAUGUGGUACCUAAAAGGGGUUAAACAGGCACUUACACUCCCCGGGUACUAAGUUAAACACAUACCAAUACAAACACACCCAGGCAACAGAUAGUCAACAUGCAGGUAAACUAGGUAUCAUUAACAAUACAAAGACUCUGGGCAAGUUAUUACCUGACUUUGAUGUCCUCUCGGCAGCAGUCACAGACACUGGGGCAGGCCAAUCACAGGGGUAGGAACAUACCGGCUAGGUGCUGCAGCAAUCUCUACCGUGUAUUCAGAGGUGAUCAGGCUCUUUUCCUUCCCCCAGGAUUCAGCCCCCCCAGCGUCUUCUUGGACAGCUGCCCAGACUGGACAUAGCCCAGAGCCCCACGUUGAGAGCGCCAAUUGUUCUAGAUAAUUUACUGCAAACCAAUUAGUUUGAAUGACUAUCUGUUCCUGUCCAAAUUAAAGAUAAUAAAGUUGCGUGCACGCAGAAGUAAAUUCACACUGAGACACAAGGUUCAGGGUAAUGAAAGAACUUCAGAGAAGUUUAAUGGCUUCUGACAGAAAAUGGGUGCGCAGACCCUUAUAAAGGCAUUAUUACAUCAUUGAAGAAAAUCAAGAUAUAGACAAAUAGACAUUGUUAAUUGGCUUAGGUGCUAAGAUGUUAGUAAAAUGCCCUCCCCAUUCUUAGGUCACUAUCUACGUAAUUUCUUAACUCCUACAGGUCUUAGCGCCAUUUUGUUAAAAUGAGGAGCUCACUCGACGGGAGGGGCCUUUUGGCAGCUAUCCAUUUGGAGCGUAGCUGGCACUUGUUAGUUUCUCAAGGUUAAGUUUCAAGGAUUUUAGUAAAUACACAUUUUAUCAAAGCUAUUUCUUGCUGACAUGCAAAUUCUAUGUUCUAUAGACAAAGCUUCCUUGUAAAACUAUGGGGGCCUCUUAGAGGUAUAGCAAGAGGAUUUAAAGGGGCCUUACAAAUUUAUAGAGGCCUAAUAAUUCUACAACAUGACCAUGCAUGCAGACACCUGUGAGUUUUAUGCACGAAAAAAGCCCAUCCACUUAAACUUGCCCUUUAGAUCAACGUUUUGAGCCCCUCCUAGUAUGAAGUAUGAAUGCAUGUGGCAUGUAUAGAUAUACAUAUAUACUGAUCAGUCACAACUUUAAAACCGUCUACAUAAUAUCAUGUAGGUUCCCCUUGUACUGCUAAAACAGUUCUGAUGCGUCAAGGCAUCAACAAGACCUCCUAACAUGUCCACUUCUAUCUGGCAUUAGCAGCAGAUCCUUUAACUCUUCCUAGAAGUGUGGUUGGGCCUCCAUUAAUUGGAUUUGUUGUUCCAGCACAUUCCAUACAUGCUCAAUUUCUGAAUAGUGUUUGCAGUGUGGCAGGGUACAUUAUCAUGCUGGCAGAGGCCACUUGCCAUUAGGGAACACCAUUGCCAUGAAUGGUUCUUAUCUGCUAUCACAUUCUAUGUUUCUAUGUUAUGUCCUAUCUGCUUUCCUUAUAAAACUCUUUAUGCAUUUGGGCUGAUCAGUGUAUGAUGGCAAUUGUGUGUAUGUGUGCAUGCAUCUAGGAGUGUGAUUGCUGUGUUAUAUGGAUGAAUGUAUACACAUGUGAAGCUGUUUGUGCUUAUAUGAACAUGUAUGUAUUUGUCAUUUGAAAGUGUAUUUAGGCAUGUAUGUAUAAGGGUAAGUGUGCAUAUAUGUAUAUAUGUGUUUCUAUGAGUGAAUGUGUAGGAAUGUGAUUAUGUGCAUGGAUUUGUGUAUAAACAACUGUGUAUAUGCAUAAAUCAAUGAAAAAUAUGUUUAAUGACUCACAAAUGUACUAGCUUCAUAUAAUGUGCUAUUUCUGAGGCAUUUUUAAUAUGUUUCUACCUAAUGCUGUAUUGCAAUAACUUCUUUCAGAUUAACCACAGGCUACAAGUUAAAGGACCACUCCACACAUCAUAAGUACUUCACAUAAACACAGCUCUGCCACAAUCCGUCUCCCACAAGAAAGCAUUGGAUUGGAUGAGAUAAUCAAUUCUGAUGAUCUCAGCCAAGGAGGAGGAGGGGGUGGAGCCAAACAUUAACCUGGGCACUCAGCAUUUCCUCAUAGAGAUAAAUUGAAUCAAUACAUCUCUAAGGGGAAAGUUCAGUGUCUCCAUACAGAGGGUGGAGAAGCUGAUAAUCAGUUCUGAGGAGUGUCCACAAAAGGUAUUCCUAGGCUGUAAUGUAAACAUUGCCUUUUCUCUGAAGCCUGCAGGGACUGACUAUAGCCACCAAAACAACUACUAUAAGCUGUAGUUGUUCUAGUGACUAUAGUGUCCCUUUAUCUCCAGUUUAUAAAAGUGCAUAGCUGACAUAAUAGGCAGGCAUGCUCUCCUUGAGCGUUUCUGCCUCCUCCCACAUAGACCUCAGACGAGACGUGAGUGCGGAUGAGCCGGCACGUGCACGUGGGCACCAAUUCAGAGCCUUCUCAAUGAGACUGAAAGUCACUCCUGGGAAAAAAAGGGGGAUGGCUUGCUAAGUCUGCAAUUAAUAAAAACUCCAGCCUUUUCAGCUAUUUUAAGAUAUAUGCCCAAUAAAUACAUGCAUGAAAAAUGAAUGCUUGUAUUCAUGGGGAUAUAUCUACUAAACAGUGUUUUUUUCCCAUUUGGGCAUUGGAGUGUUCCUUUAAAUAUGUUUUGUUCACAUCAAAAUAUUUUCAUAACAAUUGGCUUGAUGACUCACUUUUUCUGUGAAACACAGGGGCUAACUGUUUCUUUGAACAUUGCACUUCCUGUUUGUUAUUGGCACACAGUAGUUGAAAGCUAAUAUGUUAAUAAGCAAAUAACCAUUUUAUCAUGUUGUGAUCAAACAAUACACCAAAUGUAAUUCUUAUACACAGAGACUGUGAGUGAGUGAGGAGGCUUAGAGUAAGUAAUGUUAGCCCUGUCUACUAAUAUGUCCCCACUGGUUCCAUUAUGGUUAUUCUCUGUAUUUUUGUGCUAAAAGGGUCAGUGACUCUUAUUUAUAGGGCACACCUCCCAACUAGUCCACUUUCAGUGGGACAGACCCUAUUUUGGCAUCGUUUUGUCCCCUGGUGUCUGUAGCCAGGGACAGCAUGGAAAUGUUCCUAGGCAGCCAAAUGUGGGCACAUUAGAGAAAUAAGAGGCAGGGAUGGCUCGCCAUAUCAGCUUUAGGAAUAUACCGGGAGCAUUGCUGCUACAUUUUGUGGUUGGCAGACAGACAGACAGUCAGCUUGUGGGCACUCCAAACAACUCACUAUGAUCACAAAAUAUAUAUCUUAAUACUCUAUGUUUAGGUGAUACACCCCAACCCAUACUAUUAAGUGCGAGUGCAGCGCUCAAUAAAAGAAUAAAACAGAUACUACAAUACAAUAUGGGGCUGAUACAUGUACAAACACGUCAGUUUAUUUUUACUCACUGCACCAGUGUGGAUUUAAUCAGUACAUAAUAUGUUACAUUAUAUUUUCUCUUUCUUUAUUACAUAUAUCAACACUAGUAGUGAGGGAUGGGGAGGACCAUGUAAUUAUGCAUUUAUUCUUUAGGGGUUUAUCUAAAAACAGAUUGCAGAAGCUAUAGAUCGGGUUUGUUGCCUCUGCAAGCCCUCUUCCCCACCCCAGACUUCUAUGGCUGUUCAAUCAAUGAGAGCAGCUCGAUGAGAAGUAUUUGCAAGGCAGGUGCUCUGAGCAAUUGAGUAACCAAACCUGUCAAACCAUGAGGCGGCCUAUUGUGAGUCUUUUGGAAUAUGUCUCAACUGUUUUUCUGGCAAAAUUGCUCUAUCGGGUUUUAUAGGAACCUUUUGGUUAAGAGCAAUUUUCAAGUCUUUCCACAGAUUUGCAGAUUGAGAUCUGUGCUUUGCAUGGGCCAUUCUAAGACAUUCAGGUUAUUUAUUUCAAACCACUCCAAUGUAGCUCUGGUUGAGCAUUUAAGGUUGCUAUCCUGCUGUAAGUUUAGUCAAGUCUGUCUUUUGCAGACUAAAACAAGUUUUCUUCUAGAAUUGCGCUGUGUUUGCCUUUAACAAUUAAAUUGCCCUCAAUCGUAAACAGUUCACACCUAACAAGGUGUUUAUAGAGUGUUUGCCUGGAUGGGGAAAUUAACUGCUCAUUGUGAGUCCUCAGACCAGAGAACUUUCUUCUACAUUUGUUAUUUAUCCCACAUAUAUGUUGAGAAUCUCUACAAGGAAUUUGAUAUGUGUGUGUUUUUUUUUUUUUUUUUUUAAUAACCCUUCACAGCAUGCUUUUUUGAAGCAUAGAUUUGUCUUCCAGUGCCAGGAAUGGAAGAUGCUCAAAAUAGCAUGUGUCCUUACCCAUCAGCCAUCUGUAACUGGAACAGGGUAUACUGGUCACCGGACCUGUCCCACUACACCAUCCGUCCCUUCUCCACUGGUUCCAGAGACUACCACCACGUUUCUUCAUGGUAACGUCUUGUCCUCUACCCAAUAAACAGACAGAUAGCACUUCUUCUGACCACUCCUUCUUCCAGAUAAGAGUUCCCGACACCAUCUUUACAAAGAUGCUUUUGGGCUCACAGGCCCUAAUGAUUGAGCCUGUGAUUGUGAUUUCAUCACACAGGUCCACAGACUCUUUCUUCAUGUGCUCCAAAUAACAUACAACACUCCUGCUCUAUUUGAUUUACACCAUCACACUAUUCUGAUUCCCUGGUUGUAUUUGUUCUGUCUACCUUUGUGUAUCAGAUAACCCCCUAUCCUAUACUUCCCCCGCACAGGGUGUAUAUCUCUUGUAUUAGUCUCGUUUGAAGUGUUUGUGAGGUACACAUUUUUAGGGUGGUUUAUAGUCAUCUUACGUGUUUGUAUAUAGUAACAAUUUUUUGGUUAAAAUAGGUUAUUCACCACAGGGACAAGCCUUUAGCAGCACAUCAUGUAACAUACAGUGAGACAUACAAACACAGAUGAAAAUAUAUGCUAAUUCCCUAGCUUAAACAUUCUCACAACAAUGGUAAUAGAAAAGGACUUCAAUGGCAGUGACAGUCUCAGAAUACUUUCCAUGUGGGAAAUGGGCCCCAUCAAACUGUUCAAAGAUGGAAUAGUUAUAUAUUAUAUAUUAGUAAUUUGUGUUUCCACUAAAAACUGCAUUGACAUGCUCUGUGCCAGGCUUCCUUAAACGCCGUCCCUCCAGCUGAAGUACAACUCCCAUGAUUCUCUGCCCAUCUAUUUCAUUCAUAGAAUCAUGGGAGUUGUAGUUCAGCAACAUCUGGAGGGCCGGAGUUUGGGGAAGCCUGCUCUAUGCACAUUGGAUGAUCACAAAGAACUUUAGCACAUUAAAUGAGUGGAAUUAUUUACAACUCCUAUAUGAUCUUGGGUAGGCUUGAGUAGCAAAAUCAGAUGCAAUCAGUGCCUGACAGAAUAUUGUCUCAUUUCACAAGUUGGUACCUUUUCACCAGAUUCACUUUUUGAAUCUAGCCUUUAAGCAGCACUGUCAUGCCGAACUUACCUUUUCUCAAUCUCUUCCUCUUCUCCCCCUCUCUCAGGAUCUGUUCUUCUUUUCUUCCUGUCUUCUUUAGUUUUCUUUAAAAUCAUAAGACAAAGUAGGGACUCUUUGUCUUAUGAAGGUUUCCUCCGCUUGACCAGCUUUGACCAGCGGAGGAGCAAAGUGUGCUUCAUUUCCACUGGUCAGAGCAAUUUUCCCAUGAUCCUUAGCUUUCCUCUGUGUUCCCGCAAUGCUUCCUGUCAUUUUAGACGAAACUGCCGAAUUGCGUUCUAACUGAAUGAGAACAGUAUGUUCGUUUCUUUUAGAACUCAAUUCGGGACUUUUCGGGAAAUCCAUCCAAUCACAGUGCUCUGUGUCAUUUUAAACAGCGUGGAAAGUUCUUUGGAAUUUUUCCACGCUGUGUAAAAUGACACAGAGCACUGAUUGGAUGGAUUUCAAGUUAUCCAAUCACAGUGCUCUGUGUCAUUUUAUACAGCGUGGGAAAGUUCUUUGGAAUUUUCCCAUGCUGCGUAAAAUGACACAGAACACUGUGAUUGGAUGGCUUGAAAUCCAUCCAACCACAGUGCUCUGUGUCAUUUUACGCAGCGUGGGAAAGUUCUUUGGAAUUUUCCCACGCUGUGUAAAAUGACAAAGAGCACUCUGAUUGGCUUAAACCCACCAAUCAGAGUGUUCUUAGCCUAAUUGCAGGGUGGGGCAAGGCUUUACAAGCCUUCCCCCACCCUGCGGAGCUCAGUCUGCGCGGAGCCCUCCAUGGGUGAAGAUGGUUUAUUUUUUUGCGCUCUGGUUUUUCCUUUUUCGUCAGGUUUUUUUUUUUGCGCUCAGGUUUUUUAUUUUAUUUUAAGUUCGACGGGUAUUUUUUAUUUGGCCUUUUUUGGGGCUGAAAAAUGAAGAUUUUAGAAAAAAGAAGACGUCGAAUGGUAAGUUUAAUUUUACUUUACAGGUUAGUAAUUUUAUUCCCCCCUCACUAUUUUUUAGGGUGAGGCGGGUAGGUAGGGGACUUUUUAUUUGGGUGGGGGGAUGGGUGACUAGGGGUUGGGGACCGGGUGAUGAUGGGGUGGAGGGAGGACCUGGGGGGCUUAUGAAGUGGCGGGGAGCACAGCUGCCUGCCACUUCUAUCUUUACAUAUUACAAGGAGGGAGCUGCGCGCCGGUAGCUCCCUCCUUGUAAUAAACUGAACGAACAGAUGAACACUGAUACUCAGUGUUUGUUUGUUCGUCUGACAUUUCUAUUCAUUCAUUCGGCUUUCUGAUGAAUGAAUGAAUAGAUGAAAUUCCCGUUCACAUGUCCAGGUGUUUCACUGGGCAUGUGCGGGAAUCUCACAGUCUGUGUAGUGUGGGCAGAUGACGUGUCCCACAGGGACUUCAUCUACCCACACAAAGAUGGCGGCGCCCUGAAUAUAGAUCGGGGCAGAAAAUAAAUUUGAAAAAAUAGGUAAUAUGGGGGGCUUAGGGGCAUUUGGGGGUGACUAGGGGGUCAAUUAGAGAUAGUGGAAGUGGGAGGGGGGUUAAAAAAAAAACAAACGGGAUUCCGCCAUGACAGUGCCGCUUUAAGAUUGAAGUAAUGGAAAUAAACCUCUGACAACAUGUCUGUACAUCAAGGUCUGUGUACCAUCACACAGGAAAGGCGUUCCUUUAGAAUCUGCUAGUAGCCAAAAUUUGCAGGUAGUUCAUAGUGGUUCUGUCAUCUUUGAAGGUGACAUCCUUCCUUUGUGUGCAGCAGCUAUGGGGUAUACUUACAAGUUCUACUUUGCAGGUUUUUACAUCUUUUUUUCCCCCUUUCAUACUUGAAUAUGUAUUUAUUUAUAGCACUUUAGCAUUUCUUUAAACAGGAUUUUUUCUGAACUGGUAUUUUGUUUGGUACUCUGCUGUAACCAGCAAUAAUAGGAAAGGGGAAACCUACAAUCAUGAACUUCCUUAUGCCUUUCAGUAAGGGAAGAAUAUAAUAACAGGAACUAUGAUAAAAUACUCUGUCAGUUAUUAGUAUUCCAUUUUACUUCCUUCAUAAAUUCUGUAUAAAUUCCCAGGGUUAGACAUACAUUUCCUUUGUAGAAAACAGAAUUUGCAUUUCCUUCACUCCUCGAAAUAUGUAUAGUAUCAAAAGAUAUUGCUACAUUAUUAUUUUUCAAAGAUAUCACUAGCAGCAUCCUAUUAUUAUCUAGCUAUACAGGUAUUUUCAUAUCACAGGCAUAUUGCAUUUAACAAAGCUGCAGGCCAUCUACCUGUUGUAUGCGUCUAUCUAUAUUUCAAUGUUUGAAGAAAAUAGUAAAUAAUAACAGUAUCCCAGUGAGAGACACAAAAAAUAAUAGAUACUCAAACACCUUAGUGAGUUUUCCAUUUACCCUCACAACAAACUUAAAAAUACAUACAGUAUAAGGUGGAGUUUCUUCUUAUUUGAAUAGCUGACAAUAAUAAAUAUUUCUAGAGAUAAAACAAAAUGGGACACGUAAUAGUGCAAUAUUGUCUGUAUAUAAUUAUAAAGUGAAAAAAGUGGAUGAAAUUUCACUCACAAAUAAGGAGCCUAUGGAUAAGGCUCAACUUUCCAGCUCUGUGGGAUAUCAAGGUUACCACUCCCUUCUUUAUACUGCCAGGAGGUUUCAAAUAAUGAGGUAUCCUCUCAAAGGUAAGUAUGAAAAUAAAGUGCUUUAUUAAAAGUACACAAUAGGUAAUAAACAAAAUAAAUAAAAUCAAGACCUUACAGUUUUGAAGGUAAGUCUUUUAAAUAGUCCUUAGUGGUGCAAAACGUGUUUCGCCUCGUUCAGAGGCUUCCUCAGUUGCUGAUUUGUUGCUGGCUGUGAGUAUCCUUUUAAAUAAUCCAUAAUUGGCGCUUGUUUGUUGCCACCAUUUCGUGCGUUCGUAUAGCAUUUCCGCUUCCGGGUUUUGCGUUUCCAUCAGUGGAACGCAUGUAUCGUUUCCUUUUUCCUCUGUAGUGGAACACAUCCAUGCGUUCCACUACGUUCUUACGAUAUGUCAGUCUCUCAUGUGACAUACAGCAGUUUGUGAUGAAUGUAAUAUAAAUAAUACUAAAAAGAGGCGUUUAAUACUAGGAAAUAUCUAGUGUAUAAAAACAAUAUAAAAUUCUAAUAAUAAAAAACUGAAAGAGAUAAAAAUACAAAGUUGCACAAUAUUUUAAUUUCUGGUCAAAUUAGAUAUCACAAUUAAAUAGGGUGAAUAAACAAAUAGUGUAUAUUAAAAUAAAUAAUGUAGUGUGAAAUGACCAACAUUCACUUAAAUCAUUUUAAUAAUCCAGUUUAUAACCAUUAUAGUCUUAAAUGGGUAAUCAAUUGUACCUAGUGAAAAUGGAAGGCAACAGAAAAAAAUGUGUAAACAUACUACUGUAUGUAAUCUUAGAAGAUGGAGGGAGGGAGAGAGUCCUCUCAUUAAAAUUUGUAUAAAAAAUAUAUUCCUAAAAAGUUUUAUUUGUAUAUAAAAAAGUUAUUAAAAGUGGCAGACCUCAAAAUCAGAGUUUAAACCAUGGGGGAUUAGGGUUUUAAAAUUAUAAAUAAAACACAUUUCUUCUUUACCCAAUAUUUUAAUAUAAUUACCCCCUCUCCAAUUUCUUUUUACUUCCUUUAUUGCACAAAAAAACAGAUUUUCUGGAUUUUGGUUAUGAGUCCCUUUAAAGUGUAAGGACACGCUGUGGGUUUCUAAGCCAUUUUUAAUAUUGCGAAUAUGUUCGGCGAUCCUAACUUUCAAAGGUCGAAUGGUCCUUCCUACAUAUAGCAAGUUACAGGGGCAUCAAGAUGUAUAUAAUGCCCUUUGUAUGGCAAGUUAGGUGAUCUUUAAUAGUGUAUGGCUUAUGAAUUAUAUGUUCUAUAUUUUCUAAAUGCCUCUUACUUUUUGUGGUUUUACAUGGGAGGCACAUGCCACACCCAUUAAAUCCUUUUAGAUCUUGAAUAAAGUGCUUUAAUUUUUUGGGAGUUAGGUGACUUUUAACUAAAAUGCUUUUAAAAUGUUUUGCUCUCUAUGUAAAAGUGCUUCGUUAUAACCCUUUUCUAUAAAUUGUUUUUUAAUAUAAUUCGCCUGUUCUAGAUAAUCUAUAUCUAAUUUACAGUUGCGUCGAAUUCUUAAAAAUUGACUUUUGGGAGCGUUGUUAAGCCAAGGCUUAUGAUAACAACUGUUUUUUCCAAUUUAACUAUUGGCAUGUACUGGUUUAAAAUAAUUUUUGGUUACUAUUGUAGAUUCCUGAAUACUAAUAUCUAAAUCUAGAAAAUGAAUACUCUAUUCACUAUAGUAACUGGUUAAGUUUAUUCCAUAAUCAUUGAUGUUAAGAUAUGCAAUAAACUCCUGUAGGACCUCCGUGGUUCCGGUCCAUACAAAAAAGAUAUCAUCAAUGAACAGGCAGUAGGACACCAAGUUCGCCACUCAUUGAUGUCCUGUGAAUACAAAAGCUUCUUCGGAAAAUGCCAUAAAAAGGUUGGCAUAACUGGGGGCAAACUUGGUGCCCAUUGCCAUACCACAGAUCUGUAAAUAAAAGGUAUUUUCAAACCAAAAAUAAUUAUGGGUUAAAAUUAAUAAAAUCGCUUUUAAAAUAUACUUUAUUUGUUCUGUUUUAAAAUCAGACUUCUCUAAAAAACAUAUAACUGCUGCCAUUCCUUUAUCAUGGGGGAUAAUACUAUAUAAGGAAGUCACAUGUGACGAAUAGGUUUCCUUUCGUCCAUUUUAUUUCUUCCAAGAUUUGUAAAACGUGGAUUCUAUCUUUAAGAUAGGUGGGAUUUUUUAUAACUAUUGGUUGGAGUAUGGUGUCUAUGUAUUCAGAGAUUCUUGUGGAAAUGGAAUCGAUGCCAGAUAUAAUUGGUCUCCCUGGAGGGUUUUCUACAAUUCUUAUGGACUUUUGGUAAGAGGUAGAAGACCGGUAUUUUUGGGAUAUCUACCAACAAAUAUUCCGCUUCUUUAUCAGUAAGGAUUCCCAAUUCUUUUCCUUUGUCCACAUACUGUUUAAAGAUUUUUAUGGUAUCAUUCGUAGGAUUGUGUGUUCAUUUUUGGUAGGUGGAGGAGUCUGACAGUAUCUUUUCUGCUUUUCUAACAUAUUGAUCUUUAGUAAGAAUCACUACUCCUCCACCCUUGUCUAUUGGUUUAAUUACAAAAUUUUCAUCAUUCUUUAUAUUCCUUAAGGCUUUUCUCUCUCCUAUCGAUAGGUUAUGUUGGUAUUUAUUUAUUUUUCUAAAUUUCUCUACUUCUUUCAUUACCAUAGUUUCAAACGUCUUACUUUCGCUUGAAAUUAGGUGUCUUGGAAAGAAUUGGGAUUUUUCCUUAAGUGAUGUACGGAUAUAUUCAUCAUUCUGUAUUUCUGGUUGUUAUUUUUCUCUGUUGUAAAAAAUUUUUUUUAAACAUAGUUUUCUAAUAAAAAGAUUCAUGUCUACAAAAAAGUCAAAGGGAUUUGUUUUAUCUCUAGAAAUAUUUAUUAUUGUCAGCUAUUCAAAUAAGAAGAAACUCCACCAUAUACUGUAUGUAUUUUUAAGUUUGAAGAAAAUAAUUUAUUAAAAUUCAAGUUGCAUUGAGAGCACAACAAUUCAACUAUUGCAACCACCUUUCAGCAGUCAGAUUAGGACAUAUUGGUUCUAAUUAAAAUUAAAUCAAGGUUCACUGCAACUUAAGGAUUUAUUUAGUAAUAUUCAAGAAAAUAGUUGAGGAUUUUAGCUGAAUCUCAGAUGGCUGAAGUGAGGUGUUCUAUAUUCAUUAACUUCCAUAUUUAGCUUGAUACAUUGAGCAAAUAUAUAUGUGGGCAUUCAAACUAAACUAGUGGUAGUCAACCUUUUUCUACCUACCGCCCACUAAUGUAUCUUUUUGGUUGAAAAAAUUUCCUUACCGACCACCAGUUAUUGCGCAAGUGCGGAAUAUUUUUUAGAAAGGAAGGUGUUUUAAAAAAAAAUAAAUGUACGUACAUUUAUCUUUUUAUUUCUACUUAAUGCAUGUUUAUAAUGUUUUUAACUUUAUAAAGUUUAAUGAGAAACAAUAAAGUAAAUUGAAAUUACCUUUACUAGUGAUUAAUGAGAUCCUUGAGGUUGAUGCUGCAAGACUAAAUAUUUGAUAUCUGGUUCGAUUUUCGUAAGGAACAAACAAAGGUCUCCUCUUUCGGUGAUAUUCAGAAAACUUCUCUGUUUGCGCAUAAUAUGAUUUCUCAUCUGUGCAUCAGCUCCCCUCCUCUCCCUCCUCAAUUCCCCUCCCCACCUUUUCACUUUAAAAACAAAAAAAUUAACCUUCUUUAUAUCAAUGCCCAGUAGGAAGGCUGAGCUAGGUAUCCCACUUACUAUUACUUACUAUAGCCCACUAUAACAGACAGGCACACAUAUAUACAUACAUACAGACACACACAUACAGACAGACAGGCACACACAUACAUACAGACACACAGACAGGCACACAUACAGACACACACACACACAAGACACAUACAUACAUACAAACAGACAGGCACACAUACAUACAAACACACACACAGACAUGCAUACAGACACACACAUACAAAGACACACACAUAAGACAUACAUACAAAGACACAUACACAUAUACAGACAGACACAAGACACACAUACAUACAAACACACAUACACACACAACACAUACAUACAAAGACAAGACACACAUACAUACACACAUAUAUACAGACAGACACACACACACACACACACACACACACACAAGACACAUACAAAGACACACACAUACAUACAAAGACACAUACAUAAGGCACACAUACAGACAGAUACAUACAGACACACACACACAAGACAUACAUACAAAGACACAUACACAAACAAACACACACAAAAUAUUUUAGUCACCCUCCUGUUUCCUACCUUUUAGGUGCAGGAGGGUGACUUUCCCUGGGGUCCAGUGGUGGCUCAGGUGGAUGGGAGUCAGAGUUCCCACUCUGACUCCCUCCUCCUUCCUCCCGCACGGUCUGUGUGUUAGCUCGGAGGAGUGCAGUCACUUCCUCCAAGCUCUGUGAUGUAAUCACAGGGGGCCCGAUCGCGCUGUUAAAGCACCCAGCGCUGACCGGGCCCCCUCACAAUCCACAUCCAUCGGAUGGUCCUGACAGCAUGGACCACCCGAUGGACCCCUCCAUAUGCAGCCCCGGCAGUUUGCCGCAUGGGCCGGGGCAGCAAGUGUUGAUGGCGGUACCCGGUCGCAGGGGUACUGCCGGCUCGCACCCGCCCGCCAUUCUCUCAAAAUUAGAAAAUCCCUACCGCCCACCUGUAAUCCUGAAACGCCCACUAGUGGGCGGUAGGGACCAGGUUGACGACCCAUGAAGUAAACUGUGCAUGACAGUGGCUAUAACAUGCACGGAAGGAGGAGGGAAAGGUCCAUCCAAAUUUUGUGUCCUGCAUGCAUACCAUGUAUGCACAAUGUUGACGUAUUUUUGAUGUCAAGUAAGGAACUAAAAUUCCUUCCUUGAUUCCAGAUAGAAAAGGAUCUCGCUUUUAGCUGCAAAGAGUUGCAAGAAAAUGUCUGUGAUAUACCACCCUGGAAUGCUGAUGGGCUGCAGGGAACUAUGCACCACAAUCAUUGCAAUAAUGCGUACUAUAAUUUUUAUGUACAUAAAUGCACAAAUUAUUCUUUUAAAGUAGCUUUGUCACACACCCAACCCUUCCCCCAAAUUUAGUAUUUGACAAUGCUUAAUUAACAUAUAGGAUAACAUUUUAACCCAGUCAAGAGAUACUAAGAUAAAGAGAAGCUUGAGAAGCUGGACAAAAAUGCUUGUUAAGCCCCUAUAUUCCCCUGCACCAUGGGUCAAGUGACAAAUUAUACAAAGACCGUAGGUUGACAGGGCAGCUUUAAAGGGACACUAUAGUCACCCAGACCACUUCAGCUCAAUGAAGUGGUCAGGGUGCAAUGGCCCUCAGGUUUUAACCCUGCAGAUGCAAACAUAGCAGUUUCAGAGAAACUGCUAUGUUUACAUUGCAGGGUUAAGCCAGCCUCUAGUGGCUGUCUUCCGGAUAAGAGCUACAAGAGCUUUUAAUCACUUUUUUCUUCUAUUGCAUGUUAUAUCACUAUGUAAUUGCACAUAUCAGUUGUGUAAAACCGGGCUUUCUACUUUUUCACGGUGUGUCAUUCCCUAUAGGCCAUGGGUCGUCAACCUGGUUCCUACCGCCCACUAGUGGGCGUUUCAUGAUUCCAGGUGGGCGGUAGGGAUUUCCUCGUUUUGAGAGACUUGGCAGGCGGGUGUGUUUGUUUGUGUAUAUGUGCGUUUGUAUGUAUGUCUUGUGUGUGUCUGUCUGUCUGUGUGUGUCUGUCUGUAUGUAUGUGUGUCUUAUGUAUGUGUCUUUGUAUGUAUGUCUUGUGUGUGUGUCUGUAUGUAUGUUUACGUAUGUGUGUCUUGUCUUUAUAUGUAUGUGUUGUGUGUGUCUUGUAUGUAUGUGUGUAUUGUGUCUGUAUGUGUGUGUGUCUUGUGUCUGUAUGUGUGUGUGUGUCUUUAUAUGUAUGUCUUGUGUGUGUGUGUCUGUAUGCAUGUGUGUAUGUAUGUGUGUCUUGUCUUUGUAUGUAUGUGUUGUGUGUCUUGUCUUUGUAUGUAUGUGUGUCUUAUGUAUGUGCUUUGUAUGUAUGUGUGUCUUGUCUUUGUAUGUAUGUCUUAUGUGUGUGUAUGUGUGCAUGUCUGUGUAUGUGUCUGUAUGUGUGCCUGUCUGUUUGUAUGUAUGUGUCUUUUGUGUGUGUGUGUGUGUGUGUGUGUGUAUGUGUUUUCCUUGUCCGUGUGUCUGUAUGUAUGUGUGUGCCUGUCUGUUUGUAUGUAUGUGUCUUUGUAUGUGUGUGUCUGUAUGUGUGCCUGUCUGUUUGUAUGUAUGUAUGUGUCUUUUGUGUGUGUGUGUGUAUGUGUGCCUGUCUGUGUGUGAGUAUGUAUGUGUGUGCCUGUCUGUUUGUAUGUAUGUGUCUUUGUAUGUGUGUGUGUGUGUCUUGUGUGUGUGUCUGUAUGUAUGUGUGCCUGUCUGUUAUAGUGGGCUAUAGUAAGUAAUAGUAAGUGGGCUUCCUAGCUCAGCCUUCCUGCUGGGCAUUGCUAUAAGUAAGGUUAAAAAAUAGAAAAAGGGGAAAAAAAGGUGGGGAGGGGAAUUCUAAAAAAUAUUCUGCACUUGCGCGAAAACUGGUGGGCGGUAAGGAAAUUUUUUCAACCAAAAAGAUGCAUUAGUGGGCGGUAGGUAGAAAAAGGUUGACUACCACUGCUAUAGGCGGUUACCAUAGCAAUGACUGCCGCGUCGCUGUGACAAUGGCGUUACGUGACGUCAUCUUGGAGGGACUGCGUGAUUACGAAGGGGGAGUGGCCUCACGGAUAUACGUAGUGAAUGCACACGAAUGCCGGUAGUAACACACAACACCUGGGGUAAGUCACUUUUCUAAUUAAUAUGGAUGUAUAUAUGUUUUAUCGUUUGCACACUGGAAUUAUGCCAUUUGAUCUUGAAAAAGGUCUCAGAGAGGACUGAAACGUCAAUCUGCUGUUUUUUCUUAUGGAAUAAAGAAAACUUCACUAUGAGAUACCAUGAGUGCCGUCCAUAUGUUUAUUAUUGUGAAUAAUCGAUCCCCAGGACCAGCACCCGGCAUUUGUAUAACAGAGGUUAGCCUGAGUGCAAGGAUCAUUCUCACGUUUUAUAUAUAUAUAUAUACAUACAGUUGCAAGAAAAAGUAUGUGAACCCUUUGGAAUGAUAUGGAUUUCUGCACAAAUUGGUCAUAAAAUGUGAUCUGAUCAUCAUCUAAGUCACAACAAUAGACAAUCACAGUCUGCUUAAACUAAUAACACACAAAGAAUGAAAUGUUGCCAUAUUUUUAUUGAACACACCAUAUAAACAUUCACAGUGCAGGUGGAAAAAGUAUGUGAACCCUUGAAUUUAAUAACUGGUUGAACCUCCUUUGGCAGCAAUAACUUCAACCAAAUGUUUCCUGUAGUUGCAGAUCAGACGUACACAACGGUCAGGAGUAAUUCUUGACCAUUCCUCUUUACAGAACUGUUUCAGGGUUGGUCUCUCCCCUGGGAUACUUAAAUUUGCUCCACGAGGUGCCUACCCCUGCUCAACCAUUCGGGCGAUCCAGCCAGGGCAGUUUUACACGAUUGGAGUAGUUUUUCGGCCACAUGGAUUGGGAUCGCUUCGUUCAUUCCCCCACUUUCAAAACACUCACUUUCAAUUCACACAGACCCAGCAGCACACACAGGGUUCGCCGCCAUUUUUUGGCAACCACUUGUUAGGGAUACUGGCCCACUAAGACGGAUGCCUUGCCGGCCUUUGGAGAGACCUCUCCUUUGUUGGAGAUCUACCCCUUCGUGGUGGCCUCCCUCACAUGGGGUCAUCUUUGGACCAGCAGGACAGUUGAAUGCUGCUCUGACAACUCCGCAGCCUGCGAUUUCAUUAGCAAGGGCGUUCAUACUCACCGCCAAUGUGGCUGAUUCGCAGGCUGAUUUGGCAGGUAGCAACCCCUCAGUUCUUUAUAGUCUACAUUUUCAUUCCUGGUGUCCACUACACAACCGCUGACACUUUUGCACGCUCUCAAUUUAAGGUCUUCUUUUAGGCACUCCCUACGAUCCACUACAUACCAUACAGGAUACCUCCAUUCCGUGAGCUAAUCUUGGACUAAGCACACAAUUACACCACGUACACUAACACACUCUGCAUUCAUUACACAUUAACACAUGCACUGCAUGCAUUACACUAACACACACUCUGCAUUCACUGCACUAACACACACUGCAUUCAUUACACUAACACUCACUCUGCAUUCACUACACUAACACACACUCUGCAUUCAUUACACACUAACACACUCUCCAUUCAUUACACUAACACACACUCUGCAUUCAUUACACUAACACACACUGCAUUCACUACACUAACACACUGCAUUCACUAUACUGACACACACUCUGCAUUCACUACACUAACACACUGCAUCCACUACACUGAUACACACACUGCAUUCACUACACUAACACACUGCAUUCACCACACUGACACACACUCUGCAUUCACUACACUACCACACAGUCUGCAUUCACUACACUGACACACACUCAGCAUUCACUACAAUAACAUACACUUUACAUUAACUUUACACACAACAUCCACUACACAAACAUCCUGUAUUCACAGUACACAUACCACAUCCACCACACAUUCAAACACUCUGCGUUCACUAUACAGAGACACUGCGUCUAAUACAAACACUACAUCACUGUACACACACUACAUCCACUACUCAAACACACUCUGUGUUCACUAAACAUACUGCAUCCGCUACACAAACCCACACUCUGCAUUCACUGCACAAACCGUAUCUAAUACACACAAACACUACAUCCAUUACACACAUUCUAAUUAACUUCCACUAUACACACCACAUUCAGUCCAUCAUUGUCAGCGGACUAGGUAGAAGUCCUGUGGGCGGGCCGGGGGGGAGGAGGGGCAGACCUUGUGCUUUGUCAGGGGCCCCAAAAUUUCUGGUGGUAGCCCUGCAAAUAGGCAUCCUAAACAUUUGCACAAAUACCUGUAUUUAGCGUCUCCAAACGUGAUCUUUCAUGUAAGAUAAACUUAUGUUUAAAUAUUUAUUUCCCUUAAAUGCAUAUCCAACCUUCCAAGUACAUUCUGGGAGAAGAGUUAGAGAGUGCGUCUGAAAAUAAUAUUAUUUGGGUAAAAUGAAUCUAUUCUGAUUAUUUAUAUUGCUUUCUAUUUCUUCAGAACAGGAAAGUCAUCCAACUAUACAAACUUUCACUAUAAUUGUGAUCAUAUGCGGAGCUAUUUUUCUUACGUUUGUCCUGCUAGUCAUUUAUUGGAAAAGAAAAAAGUCUUUCAAAUGUUUCAGAAAAAAAGG